AUCUUCGCCUUCGCGAAGCGGCUUAAAUUUGGCAAUAUCUUGAGUAAUCGUGUCCGAAACAUAUCGGGGGUCUCCGUAAACAGAAUCGAGGUAUUCCCACGCAGCGUCGUAAUCUGAGCCUAUUCCUUUAAUUAACUCAAGUGGUUUACCCUCGAGACAUGUUCGUAAAAAUGUCAUUGCGUCGCGUUUACCAUAUCUUGAUUCUACUGCGUAUUUAAAAUCAGCGCGGAAAAUUGCGUAUUCUCUUACAUCACCGGUAAAUUUGGGCAUUUUAGGCUUUUCCAUUUUAAAACUACAUUGUCGAGAAUUCGCCUCCAAAAUGUAGUCCUCGACAAGUCACAAAUGUUCGAAGUAAGAAAAAUGUAUAUUCAAACAAAACAUAAAAUUUACCAAAGAUAUAUAACAAAAUUAAAAGGUUCACAAUGGUCACGAUUACGUAUAGAUAGAUAGCGCACGGGCUAUUAUCUCUCUUUCACAAUACAAUUUCUCUCUCACUCACUGUCACAGUCCAACUACGAUUGUUCAACUAACUCUCUGCUCUCUUUCGUGACUAUUUCACUCACACCCUCACUUUGACACCUAAUCAUUCCUACGUCAUGCAUUAAUAAUCAAUUAAAAUAAUAAUCUUAUCUGUCAGUUCCCGACACACUCCCCCAUAUAGCUCAGAAUUGAGGUAUAUGUCCUUGAAGGGACUGACUUCGUUGCUGUAGUUCAUCAUUUACUACCUAACAAAUAGAAUAUAUAAAGUUAAUAUGGAAAAAAGUUAUAAUAAAUGUCUCGCAUCAGUGUUCUUCCGCAUUCGCGACUUGCUUCAACCGUAUCUUUGCUGCUUCUGCUGCAUCCCUAGUCGGACGUGGGGUAAAGGUUGGUGCUUCCGGGUUGGGGGUCCACUUUGUCUCGUCGCAGGAUAGCUCUAAGGGAUAAAUAUGCUGGACCGCUCGCUCGAUAUUCCCGUUCGAGGUCCGUAUACUAGCUCCCUGUAUCACAUCAUCUCUUCCUUUCAUCACCCUGGACACGACUCCGAGUUUCCAUGCAUGACGUUUCUUGUCUUCGUCCCGAAUUAUGACGAUCUCCCCGAUUCUUGGAUAGGAGGUCUGUUUGCCGACCCGUUGGUUAUGGCGUUCGCGCAGGCUUCGAACAUACUCUUGGGACCAACGUUUCCACAUCGCCUCUUUACUUUUCCGUAAUAGUCUCGCACGUUUCCGCAAAUCUCUAUCUUCCAGGUAGUGGGGAUCAGCUUCAGGUAGGACACAAGGGUUAAUGUUCAGCAUUGAGGAAGGUGUAAGUACUGGUAAUUGGAUGUCAUCUUCUAGAUAGGUCAACGGACGAUUAUUGAGAGCCACUUCCACAUCCAAUACUACUUCCUCUAAUUCGUCUAAGGUCAACGUUCCGUUACCGAUCGUUUUGUAGAACGCUCUUUUGAAGAGACCAAUGAGGCGUUCAAAUUGGCCUCCCCACCAUGGUGCACGACUAAGGUUG